rnacentral:misc_RNA from 1 species
GUAUAUGUUUUAUAGGCACAACAUUCUAUUAACAUACAUUGGGGUAAAUGAAGAAGCAACAUAGACCUGGGAGGUCUACAAAGGGUGCACAGGUGGAGAUAUAAAGAUGACAAGGCGUGCACAUGCUCCCUGGAGAACCAGCAACAACCCAUCAGGUUUAUUUCAAUAAUGAUCCUUCCGCAGGUUCACCUACGGAAA